ACCGAGCGGCCGAGCAAUUACCCGCCAGAGGGGGGGUCCUGCAAUUCCGCAAAACGGCCCGCCGCCAUGGCUGCCCGGCCGCCGCAAGGCAGGCCGGGAAUUGGAGUCCGCGACCCCCCGCCUGCCUCGUUCAGGGCUUAGGAGACACGGCCGGGUGAAAGACUACGACUCCCGGAGUGCGCCACGCCAACUGCACCUGAUGCUCAUACUGCCGGAGACGCCGUUAAAAAGAAGAGCGCAGGCGCCUGGCCGCGCAUAGAAUGUAGGGAGGUGUAGUCCGUAAGUCACGGAGGCGAGGUUAAAGGAUCGCAGAGCGAUAGUGGAGGUGCGCGAGCACUCAGUGGUGUUGUAGUCUUCGCGCGUUCUGCAUCCUUCCGGACAGACAGAAAGGGAGCAGCGAGAUGAACUACAAAUCCCAGCACGCAACAUUCGCAGCUCGUCUGAGGCCUCAAAAUGGUGAUUUGCUGUAGUAACCUGUGUUCAUAAACUACUAAUUUCACUGAGGAGUGUGUGGAUAUUUGAUGUGAUAAAUAUCCCCUACUAUAGUUAAAAAAAUCGCAUAUUGUCCCCAAAUGAGGUUCCUGCCAUCUCCCUAAAAGUAUGGGGGGACUAGAAGAGUUUCCUGUUGGGGUUGGAUAUUUGGACGCUUACGACAGAACAAAGUGAAACUACUUUGAUGAGGGCAUUGCUGGCUGGGCAGCAGUUGUUGCCCAUCCCUAAUUGCCUCAACUGCAGUUGAGAGUCAACCACAUUGCUGUGUGUCUGGAGUCACAUGUAGGCCAGACCAGUAAUCAAGGAUGUUUCUCCUGGCUUCCAGACCAGGAGACUUUUCUACAUUGAAGACUACCAACCUUUUGGAUGCAUCCUAUUAAUUUUUAUCCUAUACAAUAUACCAUUUCUUCUUCCUUUACUGCUAUUUAAACAGCAUUCUCUUCUGUGGUGAAAGCAACUGCAGUGUAGUUAUCUAUGCCUCUGGCUUCCACAAGCUCUUGAUAAGACCGUAAGAAAUAGGAACAGAAGUAAGGCAUUCUGCCCUUAAAGCUUGUUGCACUCUUCAAUAAAACUAUGGUUUAUCAGACAGUAUCCACUUUCCUGCCCUUUCCCUAUAUCCUUAGAUUCUUGAUCAGUCAAGGAAUCAAAUCAAUCUCAGCCUUAAAUAUACACAAGGACUCUACUCCCACAGCUGUCUAUGGCAAGCAGUUCCAAAGACUCAAACCCCACAGAAGAAAUUCUUCCUCAUCUCAGUCUUUAAUUGGCAUCCCUAAAUUUUGAGACAAUGCUCUCUGAUCCUAGGUUAUCCCAUGAGACUGAAAUAUCUUCUCAGCAUUUACCCUGUUAAGCCCCUUAAAAAUCCUGUAUCUUUCAAUGAGAUCACCCCUCAUUCUUCUAAAUUCCAAUGAGUAGAAUCCAAACUUUUUAAAACUUUGCUCAUAAAACAGUCCCCUUACACCAGAGGAUCAUCCUAGUGAACCUUCUCCGAAUUGCUCCAAAGAAAUUAAUAUCUUUCCUUCAAUAAGGGGACUAAAACUGCUCACAGUACUUUAGAUGUGGUCUCACCACCACUGUGUACAGGUCAUUAGUAAAUUCUGAAAAAUAGCUGUAAUCCUAACACCAAUCCAAGAAUUACUGUAAUCUAUCCUACCUUUCCUUCUGCUAUUUACAGGAUUGUGAAGUACUUUGCAGUUUAUUUUAGUGUCAAUGACUAAUCUUUUCUCACUCUGUAUUUACCCCUCAUUCUCUCUUUUUAAAACUCUUCAGUCCUUUUGUUGUAAAUCUUGCAAAUGUCAUAAAUCUUUUGUCUUAACCUCUAUCUUCAAGCAUCCAGAAAGCUUUAACUUGGGAUGCUAUUCUUUCCACCUUUUGGAAAUGUGCCUACUCUGUUUGUGUAAGAUGUCCUCUUUGAAGACCUCCUGUCGUACAAUUUCUGUCUAUAAAUUGAUUCCAGUUCACCUGGUCUAAAUCCCUCUCAUAACUUGCGGAAGUUAGCCUUCGUCUAGUUAACGUUUUUAUUGUUGAUUAUGCCUUGUGCUUUAUCAUAGCUAUUCUAAACAUAUUAUAAUCACUGAUCUCCAGAUACUUGCUCUACUUACCCUGUUUAUUCUCCAGAAUCAGAUGGUGCAGAAUUUGCUUCUUCAUUGGCAUGGACACUGGUCAAGAAAGUUCCAUACCUUUUGGGAAUUCCUUCCAAUCUUUGCUGUUUGUGCUGUUUCUACCCCAGUUUAUACCAUAUCAUCAAGUCCCCACUAUCACUACUUUGCAGAUUUUACAUCUUUGUCUAAUUGACAUGCAAAUUUCGUCUAUCUCCUUGCCAUUUUUGACACCCCAUACUACCAUACCGGCAGUGUAAUGAUUUCUCUUUUGUCUUUAAGUCCACUUUGUAAUCAGGAAUAAGUUCCCAGUACUCCCCUUCAUUAGGUCAGGUCUAUUUUGUCAUGAUAUCACGUGCAGGAUUGUUACAAAGUCCUUACGCAACUUAAAAGUUAAUAACUUUGACUCCAUAUGUAAUAGAAGCAAACUGUAAACGGCAUUUAAAAGCACUAUUAAUUAAGCUUUUUGGUUUAAUUCUGAAAAUGGCAAUAGUAGGUGAAUUGUGUUUUUUUUUACAGAAUCUUGACAGUGUGGAAACGGGCCCCUCGGCCCAACAAGUCCACACAGACCCUCAAAAUCCCAGAAACAUUUCCCCGUAACCCAUCUAAUCUACAUAUCCCUGAACACUACGGGCAAUUUAGCGUGGCCAAUCCACCUAGCAUGCACAUCUUUGGACUGUGGGAGGAAACCUGGAGCAACCACACCGAUAUGGGGAGAAAACUCUGCACAGUCACCUGAGGCUGGAAUUGAACCUGGGUCCCUGGUGCUGCGAUGCAGCAGUACUAGCCACUGAGCUGCCGUACUGCACCAAUUUUAUGGCUAUCGGGACUAAAGUCAUGAAUAACUGAGGGGAAUUUCACUACUCAUUAACGGAAAAGACACCAAACCGAAACUCUUAUUGGGUCAAUGAAAGGUUUCUACAAUGUGCAUUUCUAAAAUUAGUGAAUUAAUGACUUUACAAACACUGCACAUUAUAUGUUUCCAUUAUAUAAUUUAACAUAGUCCCAUAUUUUGAUUUGGGCCUGCAGCUCACUAACCUUAUUAACCAUACAGUGCGCAUUUACAGACUUGCGCUCCAAACCCGAUCUUUAAUUGCCUCACCUUUGCCCCUGACUAAUCCCAUACAGAUUCUCAGCUACACUCUGGUGCUUACACUUAGGACAUUUGUUUAUUCUCAUGAAUGUUUCAGUUGAAUGCCCUUACUUAUUCCAAAUUAGUUUAAACCCCUCCUCAGAUUUAUCCUUAUCAUUGGAAUGAUUAUUGAGAUGAAACUUGUCCAUCUUAAGCCGGUCCCAUCCUGCCUCAGCCCAAUGACAUUGGAAUCUAAGAUCUACCUCCUGAACUGUUGCUGCAGCCACGUGUUAACCUGUUUAAUCCUCCUAUCCUACACUCAAAUGCAGGGGACUGCAGUCCAGUGAUUACUAGCUUUGAGAUCCUGCAUUUUAACCUGCUGUCUACCUCCUGAAACUAUAACUGCAGGAUCUCAACUUUUCCUUCCUAUGUUAUUGAAUUCUUCAUGGACCAUGACUCUUCCCUUAGCCUGUUUGCAUCAUCUUAGUGUUGUGCAUAAGCCUGUAAGCAGUUUCAGAAAUGUGUGUAAAUGUUAGCAACUCUGUGUGCACUACUCAGGGGGAGUUUUAUGCUGGACAGGUAUGUAAUAAACUAGGAGGGUGGAGUCUCCACUGAGAUUAGGUUUGGAUAAGGGUAUCCCUGGUUUCACUUCCCACUCGGCCACAAUUAAGGCCCUCAAGUGAACAAUUAAUGACAAUGUGGGCCUGUCACCACUCGGAGCAUGGUAAGCAAAUC